AUACGGAGGGUGCGAGCGUUGUUCGGAAUCACUGGGCGUAAAGGGCGCGCAGGCGGAUUGGUAAGUCAGAUGUGAAAGCCCACGGCUUAACCGUGGAAGUGCAUUUGAAACUGUCAGUCUUGAGUACCAGAGGGGAAAGUGGAAUUCCCGGUGUAGAGGUGAAAUUCGUAGAUAUCGGGAGGAAUACCGGUGGCGAAGGCGACUUUCUGGCUGGAUACUGACGCUGAGGCGCGAAAGCGUGGGGAGCAAACAGGAUUAGAUACCCUAGUAGUCC
rnacentral:rRNA from 1 species